AGAAAGUAGGUUCUUUGUAACCGCUCCAUUAUAAAAUCCUUUCACUCUUCCGGUAUACUAUUAGGAAAAACAUAACUGGAGGAUAUUUUGAGCUCACACCUCAUCGUUCCAGUGGCUGUUCCCCAAGCUCGUGUACUGCCCAAAAAAGUUAGACAUUCUAUUUAGAACGAGGAUUGAGUUCUGUAUUGUACAAGGCUCGGUCCUUUUAGAGUCAGCUUAAGGCUGGCUUUUUC
rnacentral:sRNA from 1 species